UACAGAGGGUGCAAGCGUUGUUCGGAAUUAUUGGGCGUAAAGGGAGUGUAGGCGGUUCGUUAAGUCUCAUGUGAAAUCUCUGGGCUUAGCCUAGCAAAGUGCAUGGGAAACUGGCGAGCUUGAGUGUCGGAGAGGAUAGGGGAAUACCCGGUGUAGAGGUGAAAUUCGUAGAGAUCGGGUGGAACACCAGUGGCGAAGGCGCCUAUCUGGCUGACAACUGACGCUGAGACUCGAAAGCAUGGGGAGCAAACAGG
rnacentral:rRNA from 1 species